CCCACUAUGUAUGGCCUGGGAGGUCGACCUUGUGGCUGACUGGCUUAGAAUCCUUCCUAUUUUCAAGCAAUUUUCUACCAUCUCAUCGAUCUUAAUUGCUUCCACAAAAGGUUUGCCCUUUGCUGACAUCAUAUUUUGUAAAUAGUCCACCUCCUGUGCCUGGAGAAAACAAUGACCAUAUCUAUCUCAUCCAUGAGCGAUUUUACUCUUGACGCUUAUUCGCGCCACUUGAUAGCAUAUUCUCUAAAACUUUCCAAGGGUUUCUUUUUCAGGUUGGCCAAAGAGUUCCUGUCCAGGGCAAUGCCAAUGUUAUACUGGAACUGUCUUACAAAAUCCCGGGCAAGAUCAUCCCAAAUAUGCCAUCGAGUGAUAUCCUGGUCCAUGUACCACUCAGAAGAGAUGCCUACCAAGCUUUCCCCGAAGUAUGCCAUCAAUAGUUCUUCUUUUCCACCUGCCACGACAUGACAGGUACUUUUUUCAAUUGAGCAAGGGGGUCUCCAUGACCAUCGUACUUUUCAAACUUCAGCGUUUUGAAUCCUAGGGGAAGGUUUACAUGCGG
rnacentral:lncRNA from 1 species